rnacentral:tRNA from 1 species
GCCUGGGUGGCUCAGUGGGUUAAGCAUCUGACUUCAGCUCGGGUCAUGAUCUCGUAGUCUGUGAGUUCGAGCCCCACAUCAGGCU